UGGCUCAGCAGGUAAAGGUGUUUGCUGCCAAGUCUGACAACAGAAAUUGACCUCCAGGACACACGUGUGGUAGAAGGAUCAUACACACCUCGAAGCCAAAAGACCAGGUCUGUGCUGCUCUGGACGAGCUCUUCCAGAAUGGGUUCCUGGCAUGAACACCACCUCAUUGCACACUGAAGAAUCAAGACAGCAAUAAGGACAUCAGCCUCAAAGCAGUGC